CGGAUUGCAGGCUGNAACCCGCCUGUAUGAAGUUGGAAUCGCUAGUAAUCGCGGAUCAGCAUGCCGCGGUGAAUACGUUCCCGGGCCUUGUACACACCGCCCGUCACACCAUGAGAGUCGGGAACACCCGAAGUCCGUAGUCUAACUUUCACGAGAGGACGCGGCCGAAGGUGGGUUCGAUAAUUGGGGUGAAGUCGUAACAAGGUAAC
rnacentral:rRNA from 1 species